CUUAUCAAGAGCGACUGAGGAAACAGGUCCUGUGAAGUCCGGCAACCUGACUUUUUGUUGAUGGUGCUAAAUCCUGCGGUAUUACCGAGAGAUGAGG
rnacentral:ncRNA from 1 species